rnacentral:antisense_RNA from 1 species
AGCUGGCUUGCUGAGUCUUCUGGCUUUCAUCUUUCUCCUGUGCUAGAUGCUUCUGUUCAGUCCUCCCCUGCCCUUAGACAUCGGACUCCAGGUUCCUUGGCCUUUAAACUCUUGGAUUUACACCAAUGGUUUGCUGGGGGCUCUAGGGCCUUCGGCCACAGACUGAAGCCUGCACUGUCAGCUUCCCUGCUUUUGAGGCUUUUGGACUCAGACUGAGCCGCUACUGGCUUCUUUCUCCCCGAGCUUGCAGACGGCCUAUCAUGAGACUUCGCCGUGUGAUGGUCCAAACACAAAGGCCUCCCGACCUUAGAGUUCUGUGUCUGGAUGUUUUUGGCUACAAAACCAGAAAACUCCUUCUCAACUGGCUUAAACAGGAAAAUGAGGUCACUUCUGACCCAGAGACUCUGUCAUCUUACCCUCUCCUGGGGGUCUUCAUCUAAAGAACUGCCACUGGGAUCAUACAGUGUGCUCUCAUCUGGAACUUCCCACAUCUCCACGUGCCCUCACCUUCAGUGAGAGUCUGAGAAGAAGCCGGGUGGGGUUGCUGCCCACAUGGUCGGGGCUGCUGCCAAUUCCACUCAUCUCACCGUCACUUGCUGCCUCUCUGCCUGCCCCCUGGUCCAUGGUUCUCUGACAUCUCUCUCUCCUUGAGGACUGUCCACUGAGAGGUCUGGAAACAAUGACACUCCAGGAACAAUGACACUCCAGAAACAAUGACACUCCAGGAACAAUGAGCACAUCUAGCACCCAGAUCUUGGCUUCUACACAUCAUUCUCUAUUAAAAGAAAGAAGCAUCCCUUGGAGCAAUGGCUGAUUCCAGAGCUGUGGCAGAGAAAUUACAAGAUAAGCCUGGAACAUCUCGCUGUGACAGAAAGUAAGCAAGUGCUCAAAGAAUUAUGGCAAUAGAAACCAGCUUGGCAACUGGACAAAAUCUGGGAAAUUGAGCAUCAAAAUAAAUACUGAGGUAAUGAGGAAAACA